AUACGUAGGUGGCAAGCGUUGUCCGGAAUUACUGGGUGUAAAGGGCGUGUAGGCGGGACGGCAAGUCAGAUGUGAAAUACCUCGGCUUAACUGGGGUGCUGCAACUGAAACUGUCGUUCUUGAGUGUCGGAGAGGAAAGUGGAAUUCCCAGUGUAGCGGUGAAAUGCGUAGAGAUUGGGAGGAACACCAGUGGCGAAGGCGGCUUUCUGGACGAUAACUGACGCUGAGGCGCGAAAGCGUGGGUAGCAAACAGGAUUAGAUACCCUGGUAGUCCACGCCGUAAACGAUGGAUACUAGGUGUAGGAGGUAUCGACCCCUUCUGUGCCGGAGUUAACACAAUAAGUAUCCCACCUGGGGAGUACGGCCGCAAGGUUGAA
rnacentral:rRNA from 1 species